GCCACAGCCAUAUCAUCCUACACACAAGACCGGUUACUCACUGAAGCUAAGCAGGGCUGAGCCUGGUCAGUAUCUGGAUGGGAAACCACUAGGGAACACUAGGUUGCCUUUGGAA
ensembl:rRNA 5S_rRNA 5S ribosomal RNA